rnacentral:lncRNA from 1 species
GACCAAACGAAUUGGAAACCAACUCAAGCUAACUGAUAGGAAAUAUACCAAAUAAAAUACAAGAAUAAAAUUGAAAAGACACCAAGAUUUAACGAGGUUCCUUAACAGUCAGUGUAACUGGAGUACGUCCUCGGAGCUGUAGGAGCUCACCAAUAAUCCACUAUAAACCAAAUGGAAAUGAGAGUGUUUACAAAGUGUUUGGCAAUCUCACAAUCCAAAAUCCCAAUUACACCCAAUAACUCUCACACACCAAAGAAACAAAUAGAGAAGGAAAUACAGUGAUUAAUUUCCUCUUUAUACAAAACACAAAGCUAAUCACAUGCCCCAAUUGUGGGCUUUCACAUGGGCCAUUAAACACCCAACUAAUUUUGGGCUACUGGCUUUCUUAUCAAACGCAAAGGCCCAAUGUAAUUCGGCCUCAAAUUCAACAAUGACCUGAUUUCCACCACCAAAUGAAUGCUGCUUUCCAAGUAAGGCUUCCAAUUUGGGAUUAUUAACAUCAUUAAGAAAGAACGCAUACUUCAUUCUUUUUUUCUUCAAACUUUCUCUCAAGUAGCCAAAAAAGGACUUGCUUCAUUCUCCGCCAUGUAGCCAAAGGCCUUCUUAAAUUUCAAGGCUACAUCCACAUAACAAAAUGUUUAGAAUUCCAGCGUUAGGGCAAUCAGGCAAACCGUUGCUUUGCAUGUCUAUUUUCCUAUUCACGGCUUGCCUAAAAGAGCUCCACGAACCCACACAAUUUCGGAGCUUAACAUUAUUUUAGCCUCUUCCCAUGACUCACAAUUAUGUUGGUUUUGUGAGCGAUGCAUCUCACAUGUAAAUACUUGCCACCUAGAAUAGCUUGUGAAUUUUCCCACCUAUUCAUUUUCGUCAUAAGUUGAUCCAAAGAAACUUUAUUGGCGGAAGCAUUGUCCACUGUGAUUGUCAUAACUUUGUAUAUCCCCCAUUCCAACAAGCAACUUUCAAUUAACUUUGCAAUUGUGGUUCCAUAGUGGUUAGGAAUAACACAAAAGUUUAUGAUCCUCUUAUGCAUAUUCCAUUCAUGAUCAAUAAAAUGUGAAGUAAGAACCAUAUAAUUGGGGUUUUGUGUGCUUGUCCAAGUGUCGGUAGUGAGACAAAUUCUAUGGGCACUUAAGGUUUUCUUCAAAUAAGCUUUUGAUUCAUGAGACAUGUUGAGAAAGUUCUCACAAGAGUUCUUCUAGAAGGCACUUUAAACAAUGGAAUACCAACAGCACAAAAAAGCCGAAACCCCAUCUUAUCAACUGUACUAAAUGGCAUCUCAUCUAUGACUACCAUCUUGACACAUGCUUCUAACACACUCUCUUGUGAAAAUCCAACAGCUACCAGAUUGUUACCUUUACUUUUAUCCCCAACCAAAACUUUUUGCUUUUUACUUCUAUUCCCUUGGUAAAAUUUACAAUAUCUUUCAAUGUGGUGUCUCAUGCUUGUGGGGUGCCAUUAACUCUUGGUUCAGCUGCAUAAUCACCUACACUGCUCUGUUUUGGGCAAUAAUUACAUUUAGCUCUCCUAAGUUUUACUUCGGCCAAAUAUUUCUCUCCCUUUUCAUUGAUUUUCGACUGUUUUUUCGUCACAUAAUAUGUUGUAAAAUGAUCCCAAACCCAACUACGUUUUCUUGAAUCAGAGUUACUUACUUUUUCAUCUUCGCCCUCAGAUUCAAAGUCACCUUCAACGUCUAUUUCAUUUUCCGAGUCAAUUUCUAUUGCCUCGUCCUCCGGCUUCUCAGGGGAGUCCCCCGUAGUAGAAGAGUAACCAAUCCCACUAUGCUUGCUGGAUUCUUCAUAUCUUGACUGAAAUAAAAUACGAAAGAAGAACAUAGAUAGAUAUUAGGUUUUAUACUAAGAAAAUAGAUAGAUAUUAGGUUUUUAAAUUGACUUUGUACUUCACAUUUCUAUUAUACUGUAGCAGUAAUCAAUACAAUUGGAUAUGUAAUAGCUGAAUAAAUAGGGAGGAAGGCAAAAUGACGCGAUACGCACCAUAGUUUGAAGUUCAUCGGUUGAGAACGGGUUACAGUAGUGGUCCAUGCAUAGAUUAACAAACUGAAAACAACAAAUGGUGCAGUGAAGACGGUGAAUCAACGCAGUCACAGAUUAACAAAUUGAAAACAACAAAUAAAACCACAGAAAAAGAAAACAGCCACAUAGUGUGUUGACUUCAAGAGAAAGAGGCUCUUACACCCACACAAAUUAAAAACUAACUUCUCAUUCUGCAAAGAUUCAUAUAGUACUGUUUUAUAAUCAUCUUUGAAAGAACAAGACCACAAAUUUUCUUCAUAUAAUACUUAAUCGAACAAGUUUGUGCUAAAUUUGAAUUAUUUUAACGAGGCCAACAAUCUAACAAGUAAUGAAUUGUAUUGGAGUGUAUGAGCAGCAAGUAACUCAGUAAAUAAUCACAUUGAGACUCCAAUGUCGGGAGCUAGCACACUGAUUUUUAUCUAUGAAUCAAGUUCAACUUAGCAUCAGAAGCCAACGAAAUUCAAUAACAAGGAGGCAAGCAAAAACUUGAUGGAGCUCCAAGUAAAAAUCUAGUCCUCAACCUGCCAAAUACAAGUCAAAUGCAACCACUAAAUCAGUUGUUCAAAAACUAACAAUAAUGGAUUAGAAGAUGGAUCUGAAUAACCAUCUUGGUUAAGACGCUGUCAAGUGCCAAUUGGUGACCAUGUUGGAAAUAAUAAGAUUCUCUAUUAAUUUUCUUCUUGGUGUUGGCAGCAGUAAUCAAACUUAAGCCCCAAACAAAUCCCUUAUGCUUGCUUCCCCUUUGACAACACUAAAUUAUCAGCAUUUCCAACCCCACAAAGGCUGUCAACAAGACACGGCUCACAUAUACUAACUCUGAUAGAGGAGACAACUUGAAGGCUAGCAAUCCUUAUCUCUGUGAAGGACCGUAAUUUAGCAAGACAGCAAAGAAAAACAUUUUGAAGCAAUACAAGUCUCAACAGAGAUAUCAAACAAAAAGAAAGCAUCAAACGAAGAAAAUUAAGAGAGGUGAGGGUACUUAUGCCAUGCUGCCUGUGAUAAUCAAACAUCAAAGUUUCAGCAACUCGCUUUCCCUCGUCACAGCAACUCCUAACUCAUGUUUAUGUUUCCAAACACAAAACCAAUUAACAUGUGCCACAAGUUGGUGCAAAUGAAAUGUUGGCAUUCUGAAAGAUGUUUAAAUUUUUUUGGAUAGAGGGCAAUGAGAAACCAUAUAUAACAUUAUGUCACAAAUAUAGAUUGGAUUACAAUUAAAGAGAUGGAAUUUUAAUAGACAAACACCCAGACACAAAGAGAGAACAGAUUUUCAAAAAUGAAAACCGUACUAGGUCACUUGUGACCACAUAAUAACUUCAUCUAAUCAACAAACAAAACCAAACCUGCCUAACAUUCGAAUUAAUCUAACAACAACAUAUAUGAAAUUGAAGACAGAGGAUGAGAAAUUUUUACCUCUGCUCUGGGUGUGUCGACGCCAAGAUUGGAGGCAAGGCAGAGAUGAAAGCAGUGACUCGCAGAGGUAGAUGCAGGCAGGCAGAAGUAGAUGCAGAAGCAGUCGCUCGCAGGCGGAGAUGCAAGGAGGCGCAGACAGUCGCAAACCCACUCGGUGUCGGUGCAAACCCAGAAGUUCUAGCGGCGCAAAACCAAAUGUAUAAGUUUUCUGUAUAACCUAGUUGAAUAAUGAACUAAAUAAAAAAAAAAAAAGUGCGGUUUCGGUUUCGGUUUCGGUUUCGGUGUGGUUUUGAAAACCCAAAACCGAAACCAAACCGUUUUGUGUGCCGCGGUUCGAUUUUGAAACCGAAACCGUUUCAAAAACCGCAAAACCAAACCGUUUGGUGCGGUUUGAUUCGAUUCGUGUUUCGAUUUCGGUUUUCGGUUCCAAGUGGCCACCCCUACUUGGAGAGAUGAAGGACGCCAUUAUAAGAAGGAAGCACGGCGUAAAAGGGUUUUUUGGGUUUGGGGGAUUUGAAGACGAAGACCUGGAAAAAGAGAUGUGCUGGAGAAUAAGGGCAAGAGCUUUUAGAAAGUUUUGGGAGCGUAAAGUGCGAAUGAGAGAUUUUCAGUAUUUAUAGGCUUUUUGGCAGGAAGGGUAAUCGUUUGAAAUUCAAAAACAAAGGGCAAAAUCGACCGAAAGAAUCGUUGAUCAUGAUGAACAUUUUGGAAAUGCAGUUGAGAAGACCGAAGGUUUCAGAUGUUGGGGGCGCACGAUUGCGUGUGACGGCGAAAUUAAUGGCGGAAGACGUUUCGACGCCUGCACGAUGACAAGUGGGCUCACGGACUGAGGAAGUGGCUCGCGCGGAUUGAGAUAGUGGUCAUAAUGGCAAGACGAUUCAGGCAGCCGCACGCUUUGGACGUCAUUAUUGGGAUUGGUCGUGUUAGAGGACGCCACGUGGCGAGUUUGGUUAGCAGAAUCAAGAUCGUGCAAUUAUGUUCAAUGAAUACGCCUUAGAACUCGGGCAUUAGGGCUCUGAGUAAUAGAUUCGCUUCUUCAAGGCCGAAACUCGGCCGAAGAAUUUAGACCGAGGAGGACCUCAGAAGCUAGGGGGCAAUGUUUGGGCCCAAAAUAUUAAUUUGGGCCGAGGGUAGGAUCACUCUCGGCCCGGAAGGCCGAUCGGCUAGUGGGCUUCCCAGCCUAGGGCGGUUAGGUCAGAACGCCAGCCGAGUCCUAGCACAAUGAGGAGUCUCGAUGGGAUCAGUAAUCCAGAAGGCAAAUCCGGCUCAGUUAAGGACUAGAUUCAUAGUCCUAGUAAAGAUAGGACUGGUCGAGGUGACGUUGAUCCGGAGAGGAAAACCUAGUCCAAAUAGGAUUCUAACUCGGACUUAAGGUCCAGUGCUAUAAAUAUAGGGGAAGCUGCUGUGCACCAGGAAAAGCUCCCUGCAAAUCAACACAAAAUUGCCCUGCGCAAAUUCUCACAACUUGUGAUUUUUCUCUUUCUUUUUCGCUGACACAUCUUCCAUUGGCAUCAACAGCACUGUGGAAGCAACCGGUGAUAUCUUAAGUCGGCAUAGAUAGCUCUGUCACCGUAGAGUCAGUCGGUUUCGCAGUAUCUUCCGUUGGCAUCAACAGCACUACGGCGAGAACGAUUGAUUACCUAUCCAAGUCUCGGUCGAGAAGGGUUUCUGAAUCCUUAUUGGUCGAGGUCAUCUCAUUAGCCUUCUCGGCGAAGUGGGGUGUUACAGUUAUUAUUACAUUCGGCACAUUGAAAGCCGAAUUUGAUAUUGAACUUCGUAAGAAUAGUAACCUUGUCUUCAGGUUCGAGAGCCCAAGAGGCCGAGACGUGUUCCUUUCUCGGCCGCAAUCGCAAGACGCAGAAGUUAGUAGCGCGACCUAACGCAACAUCAACAAAUUUACUCCUCGGCCGAGCUCGGCCGACGAGUUGGCACGCCCCGUAUUCACCGAAGGACGUAGUUAGCUUAUAGAAUACUCGGCCUGCGCGCCACGUAGGCUUUGUAGUUUCUAGGGUCAACAAAUGUACAGUUUUUUUUUCUUAUUUUUUUGGUGGGUGGAGAAGGGGGAGGGGGAGGAUUAUUAUCAUGUCAUAACCCAAUAAGCGAGUUCCAUUCCAUUGUAGGGUUUUUCAAGUAAUAAUAGUACUGCUUUUCGUGGGCUUCUCAUUAUGUUUGCUUUGUAUUACUCCUGCGCCAUGAAGCUGAACAAAACGAUCUCCUUGACUCGUUUGCUAACUCAAUAUUUUGACACUUUUACCAAGAGCGAGAAAAUUAAGCAACGGUUACUCGCCGAGUGUGGCUAUUAGGUUAUUCCCCAAGUGUGGCUAAUGCCACAAUGGCGAGCCGCCGCAUGGAAUUCGUGGCUAUAGCUCAACUUUUUAAUAGCAUUUUAGAACAGUAAGAAAAGAAAAAUGCCACGCAUUCUUAGAGCAUUCUUAUUUCUUACCUAGUCCUUUGCCAUACCUAAUACUCUUGAUUGACCAAAAAAAAAUACCUAAUACUCUUUGAUGCAAAAUUUUGUUGAGGUUUUUCGGGAUGGCAAGGGGAAAGGCGUCUAAGUUGCUGCGCAUGUUCGACAAAGAAAAGGUACUGUGGAUGGAAUUAUGCAACAAUAAGCAUAUGUGGGGACAAAACUUAAGUGCAAAUGAGCUAUUUUAUCUGUGGAGGGCAUUAUUUAAUAUGUGACAUGGCACAACCAUUGCUCGUGUUGCCAUCGAACAACAUUGAAACAACUAAAACCCUCAAUUAGAGACUACAAAAUACAUAACCUCGAACUUAAUUUUUAGUGUCGAGAUUUUUUGGUUUGGUAAUUCACGGUAACUUAGGUUUUUCACGAUAUCUCGAUAAUUAAAUUCGAUUUUCAACAUUUUUGGGUUUACUUUUUUGUCUUGACACAUUUUGACAAUAAGAAUAGGAAGGAAGUUAAACCAUAAUUUUAAAUAUUAGAAAAAUGAAACCAGACAAUGUGAGAAAAGUCUCAAAGUUUUGGUAGAAUAAUACGAAGGGGAAACCCUAUCACCACAGAAAAAUGGUUUUAUAGUUUACCUCAAACCUGGCUUGCAAGCAAUCCUAAGUGAAAGCACAAAAGGAAAAAAAUAACAAAAUCACGGAAAAUAUUCUGAAAACUUAAAUUUCAAACUUAACAUAGCAAACAAAUGAAUUUGAUCUAUAAACCUAUAGAUCACAACUUUUCAGUGAGUUUGACUUGUAACAUUGUCUUUGAAAAGAAAAGUCUAUUACGAGCCCAAGCCUACGUUGCAUAGACCUUAUUAUCCGAUUUAGGCUUGUCAAGUUGAUCUUGAGUUAUUCAGCGAUCCAUCUAUCCUAUCUAAUAUCAUGUCUUUAUUUAGUUAAUCUCAAUUUUCGUCUAGGUACCUUUUGUUUGCGUUCUUUUUUACACUAUGUUUGAAUAAGAGAAAUAAACUUAUAAUUUAUGUAUAAAUUAAAAUUUAUAAAUUGACAUGCACUAUUUCCUUUGUUUGGAAUCAUAAAUAUAUAAAUUUAGAAUUUCAACUUGGAAACAAAAACUUGGAAUUUGGGAUCUCAAAUUCUCAAGUUUAAAUUCCAUGUAAAUAUAUGUCAUUUCCCAAUUUCUAUGAAUGAAAGUUUAAAAAUAUCAAAUUUUGUAUUCAAUUCCAUUGUUUUUUUAGGUUUACCAAACAGGUAAAUUCGCAAAUUCUAGAAAAUAAUCUCAUCGUUUCAAUUUCCGUCAUUUUAAAUUUUUUUUGUAAUCUUAAAUUUCUUCAUCCAAACAUAAUGUUAGUUGUUAUUUCAAAUUUCUUGAAAACUUAAAAAUCAUCACCAAAUUACUUUUAUUGAAAAUUAAAAUUAUUUAUCUUGUGUUUAUAAAUUUAACUGAGUUUUUAGUUUUUUUUUUUUUUAUAACUAAAAAUAGCUACCAAACCAAAUAACCCUUUAAUAAUACCAAAAAUGCUGAUUAGUAACUCUUCAAUUCGUUUUUUACGGUAAGUUUAUUGAAUCGGGGGGAUCGGGGAUGCUGUGAAAGUCGAGAGAGAAGUGGUGGUUGGUGUGGCGGCUUGGGUGCCGUUGGCUUGGGUACUGUUGGGUGGGUGGCGGUGCCGUGGCAUUCAUCCUUCCAUCUGGGUUACCAUUGUUGACCGCUCCUUCACUAGUUCACUUUCAUGCUGGACUUCAAUUGAUAAACUUCACAUGCUGAUGCUCUGCUUCGAAGAAACUUCGUCAUCAUUCAUGCGCCAGAAAAUUGGGGCUGGAAACAAAAGAGCCCAACUGUCAACUGACCCUUUUUUGUUUUCAUUAUCCGACGGUUAUUAGUUAAACAGUCUUCUUUGGUUGGUAGGAUGUUGACAUUGCAAAAUUUUGGAGAAAUAUUUUAGUAAUUUGACUAUAUAGAUUUUUUCACGAGUCAUAUGCCAAAUUUUGGAGAAAUAUUUAGUAAUUUGACUAUGUAGAUUUUUUCACGAGUCAUAUGCCAAAUUUUGGAAAGAAUCGAUAAAUGGAUCAUACAUUUUAUUUGAUAAACUUCACAUUGAUGUCAUAGGCUAAAAUAAUAUUUUUUUAAUAUGUUUGAUAUUACUUAGGAGGUUUAAAUUUGUUUUUUACGAUAAUCGAAGUUAAGAUUUCUAACUUACAAGUGAAGAGAAAAUUUACUAGACGGUAGUGCUAAGUGGCGGCUACUAGAAGUGUUUUUAAAAUAAUUGAAAGUGAUUUUGUUGAAAAUGUAAGUGAAUCUUGAAAAACACUUGAAGUAUUUCCUGUAAGAAGCACUUUAAAUGUUUUAGAAUCCAAAAGUAUUUUCUUUAAAAACUAUUUUAGUUAUUUUAAAAGUAUUUUCAAACAAGUCAUAAAACAAAUAUUUUUGAUAACCUAGAAUAAAUAAAGAUUUAUCCGGUAUGAUCCGAUCAAUCAUCUAUCAAUGUUCAUAUGGGGUAAUUACGUUGAAUAUGUUUCCUCAUGGGGUUCCAAGGAUUAUCUUAAUUAAGUUCAAAAUUACUCAAUUACCUACCCAAAUUGAAUCGACAUGGGACCCAACUGAUGGAUAAGGAGGUCGGAUGCUACAUCAAUCUGACUCUGCAUGCCGUGGAAUCGAUUCAGCAGUCCCCUAACAUCCGUUGAUUCUACAUUUAGGUGGUCCCUACGCCCACACCUUCGCGCAUCUUGCACUCCAACUUAUUCGGCUGAUUUAGUCGACGAACUAUAUUUUAAUUGUAUUUCUCUUCAUUCGAGAUAGUCGUAGUUGAGAAAUUUUAAAUUGAAUUUGUGCAUAAGAUGAUGAGGCGAAUUUCAUACCAAAUUGUAGUUAUCUUGUUGUACGGCUCAAUGCAGAUUUUCAUCAUCUUUUACUAUUGUUUAAAUAAAUAAAACUUGUAACUAGUUAAGCUCCCAAAAUCAAGAAGAAAACAUCUACGUGACAUAGUAACGGUAUGUUAAACCAAUUCACGAAUGAUAUUCGAGAUUCACAAAAAAGUUUAACACAAGAGGAGAUACCAAUCCCAAUUUUAAGCAAGAGACGCAUAUAUCCAAAAGUGUGAUUGUAACUAAGGGAAUAUACUUGUGAACAAACCACUCCGCCCAAAUCCAAACUUUUUUGGUGUGACAUCCAUACCAUUAUUCUGUGUUAUUAAUUUAUGCGUUAUAACACAAGUGGAUAUUAUUUUUGAGAUUUCAUAUACUUAUGGUAAAAGGUUAACAAAUAUAUACACGUUUUAUGAUAUCAAUGAAUUAAUUUCUCCACGUAAUAGUGUGUCAAUCACACAUGUUAUGAUAAGAAUGAAUUAAAUUCUGCAUGUAACAGUGUGAUAAUCAUACGUGUUAUGAUAAGAACGAAUUAAUUUCUGCAUGUAAACAUUUGACAAUCUCAACGAAAUAUUUCUAGAAUAAUUCAAGAUACACGUUAAUCGAGGUUCCCCAAGGUACAACUAUGACAACCAGUGCUUGGCCAUAUAAGAUUCUAUAAACUUACAGCGGGUGAUCUUGCACCUUCACAGGCAACCUAGACCAAUAUAAAUACCACCCCGUAGCCACUCUAUUUUCAUCAAGAAACCAAACAAGUCCGUGUAUUCUGUGUAUUCCGUGUAUUCUGUGUCUAUUUUAUUUGAAGAAUAAGUAGUUUGUGUCUUCCAAACAGAGAAAAGUAAAACAUGGGUAAGGGAGGCCAAUCCUGCAAUGGCGUGGUUAGAGAUACCAAACCUGUUGAGCAGGAAAACAUGGCUGCCUGGCUCGUUGAUGUUAACACCAUCAGGAUCCUACCUUUCAAGCUCCCCGAUAUUGGUAUUUUACUUAUCUCCCUACUUUUUAAUUUCAUCGCUAAUUUUUUUUUCCUUUUUAUUUUUUUAUUUUCAGUUUUCAUGGAUGUAUUGACUAACAUGUUGCUCCCUGUUUUGUUUGGAUUUCUUAAUUUAGGACUCAAUGAUGUUCAAAUUCGGAUUAAGGCUGUCGGCAUUUGUGGAAGCGAUGUUCACUACCUCAAGAACAUGAAACUGGCGGAUUUUGAGGUGAAAGAACCAAUGGUGAUCGGACAUGAGUGUGCUGGGAUCGUAGAAAAAGUUGGGAGCGACGUGAAGCAUCUGGUUUCUGGUGACCGCGUGGCUGUAGAGCCCGGCAUCAGCUGCUCACGGUGCCAGCAGUGCAAAGGAGGCCGCUACAAUCUCUGCCCCGACAUGAAGUUUUUCGCCACCCCACCGGUUCAUGGUUCCUUGGCUAACCAGAUUGUGCACCCUGCAGAUCUGUGCUUUAAACUGCCCGAAAACGUGAGCUUGGAGGAAGGAGCAAUGUGUGAGCCCUUGAGUGUUGGGGUUCACGCUUGUCGGCGAGCCAAUGUUGGUCCCGAAACAACUGUUCUGAUCGUCGGUGCAGGGCCGAUUGGGCUGGUUUCCGUGCUCGCUGCUCGUGCUUUCGGAGCACCAAGAAUUGUCAUCGUAGAUAUGGAUGAUAAGCGUUUAGCCGUGGCCAAGUCUCUGGGAGCUGAUGGAACCGUCAAAGUUUCAGCAAAAAUGGAGGAUUUAGAUGACGAAGUUGCCAAGAUUAAAGAAACCAUGGGAGCCGAAGUUGAUGUGACCUUCGACUGUGUGGGUUUCAACAAAACCAUGUCUACGGGCCUCAAUGCUACUCGUCCCGGCGGCAAAGUUUGCCUUGUAGGAAUGGGGCACAGCAUGAUGACAGUCCCUCUGACACCGGCUGCAGCCAGGGAGGUUGACGUGGUUGGAGUUUUCCGGUAUAAGAACACAUGGCCUCUUUGCCUUGAGUUUUUGAGAAGCGGGAAGAUCGACGUGAAGCCGCUUAUUACCCACCGGUUUGGAUUUACCGAGAAGGAGGUGGAAGAAGCAUUUGCAACCAGUGCUCGUGGGGGUGACGCCAUUAAAGUCAUGUUUAAUCUAUAGUAAAUAAAUCAUUAAGUUUCUGAAUUUUGGAUUCGUCGAGAGGACAAGUUUUUGUGAUGGUUUGGAAAAUUGGAAGUCAUCGUCUCGGAUGAAGAAUGGUCUUGUUUUUAAGUUCCGGGAAACUUGUUGAUGUACAGAGACCAUUGUAUAGCUGUAUUAGAUCUCGGCAUGCACCACACUAGUAAAUUCAUUAUUUAACAUGAGUCCAUCAAUACAUGUUAACUAUGUGCGUACGUAUGCAUGUAACUAAAUUGUCUUCAAUAUAAAUCAUUUUUCUGCCAAAGUUGUUUUUAUUUGCUUGCAUUUCUUUGGACUAUCGAUGAGUGUUACAGACACGCAUCAUGUACGUACAAUCGGCCUAUAAUCAAAGAUAAACUAACUUGUCUAUUCAAAUCUUGCAACACAAGAUGAAAAUACUUCAUUGCUUAAAUUGCAAAUUACUCUUUUCCUUUCUCUUUUUUUCACCUUAAGGCAUAGGGGUUGUUCGGGACGGGAUCCCGAACCGAAACUCAUAUCCCAAAUCUUGAACCAAUCUAUUUCGGGAUGAAAUUCCAAAAACCGAAAGUUUAGGAUUCUCGAAAAAAAUUUGGGAUUUCGGUACGGUUCGGAAUUGGCCAUUUUCCGUGCAAAGAUUUCCCACGGCGCCGACAGAGGUGGAGAAUAAGGGUGGAGGAGAGAUUGAGAGACGAAGAAACAACAAGCGAGUCGUGGUGGCUGCAUUGGCUGGGCGACGGAGAAAUCAGACAGAACUCAGAUGAGGGAGGGAGGGAGGGAGAGAGAGAGAGAGAAUAUCAGGGUUAUGUAUGAAAGCAACGUUGGUUUUGUAUUGUGAAGGCGAAGUUGUCUUUGCAUUACGUUUGAAAGUCAAUAUGCCUAGAGUCUAGGUGCUAGCAAAGAGGUGGAAGGCUUCAGACGUAAUGAUGAUAUCCAAGGUUUAGGAAGCUUUACGGAAGUGAGAUGAUAGAUGGGAGAGUAUGAAGUUUUUGAGGAAGUGAGGUGACAGAUAGUAACGAACUGUUGAGAUUGAACCUCAACUAAAUCCUAUGGCCAUUAUUAAUUCAAAUAUACAUAAAAUUUAUUAUAUUAAUAUAUUGAUCGGUUUGGUUUGAGAAUACCGUACAAGGCCAUAUCAGAUCCCAAUCCCAUACCAAAAAUUUUCAGGAUCGGGUAUCGAACUGUUUAGAAUUUUUGGUUUGAGAUGUUUUCGGUUCAGUUUCAGGAUUAUUUCGGUAUAGUUUGGGAUUUUCAGGAUUUGUUUUUACAGCCCUAGACAUUUCCUUUUACUUUUUCUUAUCACCCUAAUACUUUUGUGUUAAUGAUGGUUGUCCAAAUAUUAUUUUUGGUUGUUAAUAGAAUCCAUAUCUCUUUUAUGAAACGAAAAACAGUCAAAAAGAGCAAAGCCUUUGUAAUCAGUUGGUGUCUUGAGUGAGCCAAAAUAUUUGCAACAAAGUUUACCUCACGCCAAAUAUAAAUAGAAAUGACGUGGCUAUUCACAUCAGAUACCAUCUAAAAUGAUGUAAAAAUGUGUUAUAAAAACAUGGUAUGAAUAACAUUACUUUUAAUUAGGAUAGAAGCAGGCCAAGUGAUUUUCAAUUGGUUUUAUAAAAAUUUUAAAUUUUAAACUCGUUAAUACUUGUGCCACUUACUUGAUUUACAUGUUAGCGAAAACUAGCUCACAUAUGUGCCAUGCUAUACAUUUUAGUAGAGUAUUUGGCGAAAAAAGUUAAACAAGAUAAAGUGUGACACAAAAGUUGAAUUCAUCGACUUAAUGGCACUAAACAAGUUUCUAGCAGCAUAAUGAGAUUCGACUUGUAGUUAAGAAGAUAUCAAAUUAAGCCAUCAAUAUUUUCAUCUUAUUAACUUACAAGAACCCUAAGUCUAACCAUCUAGAAAUUAAACAUGACCCUUUCAUUUUUUUUUGUUUGGACUGAAUUAGUUGCCAACCGACAGGGAUAUAGCUCAAACCCCUGAUCUCUUGAAAAAUUUUAAGUGAGGUUUUGAGUUAAUUUUCCGAUAUGAAACUUGAACUUUCGAUCCACCACGCAUGAUCUCUAGAGAUAUUUUAGGGAACUUGUAGAAAAUCAUCAAAAAUGUAUUGUCAUAUACCCAAUAUAUCAACAAUAUUUAUACAUUGACAAUAUCGACAAGGAACGUCUAGGAACUUUGGGAGAGACAGUCAAUUAACUUGUUUUUUUUUUUUUUGUCAAUAUGCUCUAUGCAUUGGUAUUCCUUGUUGAUAUUAUUAAUAAUAUGUUAAUAGUCCGUAUUUAUGUUGUUGAUAAUUUCCCAAUAUUGGAUUUAAGAGGUUCCUCUUCAGCCCUCAGUCUUUCAAACCCAAUCAUCUUGAUAUAAAUUGGUGUAAAAUAUUACGUAAAUUAAAAUAAAAUUUUAAUUAUAUGAGAAUAUACAUAAAGGAGAGGAAUAUUUUUUAAGAGGGAUUGAGAUUUACUCUGAAUCUCUGUGUCUAAAGUAUAUAGGCCGAGAAAUUUAGACCACUUAAUUUCAAUUUUACGAUCUUAAUUAGCUUAUUCUAUUUACUCAUUUCACAAAAACUCAAAAAGUUCAACGUCUCAUAAUGUUUUCUUUCUUUCUUGAACCGCGGAGACCUCUCAGUUGAUCUUUCAUUCACAAGGAUUCGAAGUUGAUCUUUCAUUCUUUGCAAGAGGACCACUAAAACAAUUUUCCUGAUUUUUUAUAUUGCAUACGCGUGUGUCUGACUGGACACCUUGUCGUGGCACUUCGUUAUCCAUUAUUAACGUACCACGGCUCUUUUGACUUUAUUCGCUCUUGCACUUUAUAAAAGGAAACUUCAGGAUCGGUCGUUGCAACUCAUGCCAACGGUCGCAAGAUUCAAUCCCACAUAUACGUGACGUAGGAAUUAGUCAGUCGUCACCUACCUUGGACGCGUGCCAAAAACCCUAAGGUUUGCUGGCAACACAGAUAGCACAUCUCAUGCAUGGGCCUGGCCGCAGAGUGACCAUCCAACUGUUGCUAAAUAAUUAAUCUUUUAUUUUAUUUUUGGUCGGUUUCUGUUAGUUGAUAUAUGGAUAACAGGAUUAAUUACUUCACUGAUUGGCAAAUAGAUUUUAUUAACCGACCAAAAAUAUAAAUAAUUCAGGGAGUUAAAGAAGUCCCAUGAAAAAGAACAAAAAGAAAACUUGUAAAACAAGAUUAUUAUUCGUGUCCCCCUACCUACUCCACUCAAACUUCUUGGCACCAAUUCUUACCUACUCGACCCAUAAAGGGGCAAAAGCAUUCUUACCUACUUGUUAGCUCCACCUACUCGAUCGUUCGAGCAGGUUUUAGUAGGUUCUUUUGGGGGGAUGCCUAGGCUAGGGUUUACUCGGACGCUAAGGGUAAAUGAAAAUAUAUAUGCAGCAACAAUUAAAAUUGUGUUAGGAAUGUGCAAGAGGGCAACACAAUCAUGCUGUUAAAAUGACAGUACUUUAAACUUAUCAUGCAUCAUCAUGUGUUUUUUAAUGUUAUUAUCAUCUUGUUCUGUCAUCAUGUGUUUUAAUUUUUCCAUACAAGUUUGCUUGCAUUCAAUUCUAAUGUUUGGCGACGAAAAUGGAACAAAAUAUGUUUAUAGUUACACUUUUUUCUGUCAACAAUAUUGUUUAGUUCAAUGUUAUGACAAACCACGAAGUAAAGGGAAGCAACCUCUCGAUAUAAUCUCCAAAAUUGAUUGAAUCUCAUGAAGAAGUUGAGGUUUUCCCAUAAAAUUAAUUGGUAAUAUGGUGAGUAAUCUAUUGACUACUUAUAAGCACAUGAAAAGCCCAUCAUUUCCCUGAUGUGGGAUUGACUCUCAACAAUUUGAUGUAAGGCCAAGUUAUUUAGAAUAAAAUGAAUAGGAUGGUGCUAUUCACGCACCUAUUUUUACAUUCACACACUUCUUGUUUAAUUUUGUCUGUUGAUCAUCUUUAUUUUAUUCAAUCCAAUAAUAAAAAAAUUUAAAAAAAUAUGUAAAGUAAAAAAAAAUGUAAAUAUCACCAUCGAACUGAAUAUUCCAGAUUCCACUUUGAGUAACAAUAAACCUAACAUGGGCACGACCCGACUUAUAUUCCAGAUUCCACUUUGAGUAAACCCAAACCUAUAACAUGGCCCUAACAUGGGCAAGAUUAACAGCAACCUGUAUUCAUACUCAAACCUAGCUAUUUCGUCAAACCGACAUAUUCAAACUUAUUAAUUGUUACAACGGUCUUCAUUUGGAUAACGUUUUAUAGUUUCACUUUCAGCCUCCAAAUAUUUGGAUAAUCCAAUUGGAAAAUUCCUGCUAGUCUUGGGCAAACCGAUGCACCGUCCAAGACGGCAUGUGGUAGAAGCUUCUCUCCGCCAAGUGUGGAAUGGACUAAGUGAAUUGUGGAUAACGCUAGAACUCAGGCGAAAUUCAGUGUCAAACAUGUGGGGGGUUUCUUCUUUGAUCUAACUAAACCUAGUCAUAGAAAGAGGUGUAAUGACAAUAUUUUUUUUUUUUUUUACAAACGAUAUUAUUUACAAAUGGAGGUGGGCUUAGCCUCAUAAUGAGCUAGCAAUAAUGUGGUUCAAAUUCGUCUUUGGUGAGAAAUGAACUAAAGACAUUUUACUUACAAGUGAGAAGAACACUCUAGACUGUAAUAUUAAGUGGUUUAUUUUUUAGUUUAUACAAGAUCUUUAGAGAAGGGGAAUUGAAAACACAUGAGUUCAAUUACGAAUAGAUGUUUUAAUCACUCGAAUUACAAGACAUCGAUUAUACUUUGAGCCGAUUUUGGUUAGAUCUGAUGAUGAUUUUCAACACCUCUUUAGCUCCAAGACGGCAUGUGGUAGAAGCUUCUCUCCGCCAAGUGUGGAAUGGACUAAGUAAAUUGUGGAUAACGCUAGGACUCAGGCGAAAUUCAAUGUCAAACAUGUUUUUUUUUUUUUUUUUUUGGGGGGGGUUCUUCUUUGAUCUAAACCUGGUCAUACUACGUAAAUUGUGGAUAACGCUAGGACUCAGGCAAAAUUCAGUGUCAAACAUGUUUUUUUUUUUUUUUGGGGGGGGGGGGGGGCUUUCUUCUUCGAUCUAAACCUAGUCAUAGAAAGAGGUAUAAUGACAAUAUUAUUUUUUAGUUUUUUUUUUUUUGACAAAUGAUAUUAUUUAUAGAUGGGGGUGGGCUUAGUCUCACAAUGAGCUAGCAAUAAUGUGGUUCAAAUUCGCCUUUGGCAAGAAACGAAACAAAGACCUCUCAUUUAUAAGUGAGAGGAACACUACCAGAUUGUAGUACUAAGUGACUUAUUUUUUUAGUUUAUACAAGAUCUUUAGAGAAGGGGGGUUGAAAGAAUAUGAGUUCAAUUAUGAAUAGAUGUUUUAAUCACUCGAGUUACGAGACAUCGCUUAUACUUUAAGCCGAUUUUGGCUAGAUCUAAUGUUGAUUUUCAACAACUCUUUAGUGAACUUUUUUAAGAUGAAUUUUUCAGUUCUGGGAACAUGGCUCGGUACACCAAGUGUAAUAAUAAUAUAAUUGGUUGAAAACUUGAAGAAAAAAAAAUUCAAGCAAUUGUACCAUUACUUGAUGUACUUAACCGUGUCCUCUGCACUUGAAAAAUCUUUUUUUUUUUUAGUCGACACUUUGGUAGCCUUGCUAAUUUAAGCUUUUCAGUGAAUCUGGAUUGUAGGUUUCAACCCCCAACCCAAUAUAUCCUUGGUAGUCUUCUUGGUGACAUUAGAGCAAUUCCACCGGGAAAAAAAUGUCCCAGCCCUCAGUCCAAAAAACAAGCUAGCCCUCAGUCCAUUUGCUCCAGCCUGUGGAGUUGCCUGGCACCCAGCCCAGCACGUUUUGGACUGACCAAGAAGCUGGCCUGUUUCUCAGGCGCGUGCAACACAAGCGCGCAAGGCGCGAGUGGGUUUCAGGCUUUCCUGAAAAUGUGUCAGCCCACUUGGGCUCAGCGACGUGGCGUUAUGAUAGCCGUUGGAUUUCCAACGGCUAGUUUUUCUAGACCGUUGGAUUUCCAACGGUAAAAAAAAUUUAAAUUUUACUUUUAAAAUAGACCGUCUGAUCACAGAUCAACGGUCUACGUUAAUUAACUAAAUUAAAAUUUAUUAAAAAAUACAGAAAAUUUUAAAAAUUUUAUUUAUUUUUUCUAUAAAUACCUAACUCUUCAUCUUUCCACCUUACACCACAUUUCAAUAUUUUCUACACUUUCUACCAAAAAGCUUUUCAUAUACUUUUUGUGUGAAAAAAAAAAUACCAAAAAGCUUAUGGUUGAAGAAUAAAGUGUAUUUGAUGAGUUUAUGUAAUUUCAUUUUAGUGUGUUUUUUUUUAUAGUUUAUUUGAGGAUGAGUAUGUAAUUUUAUUUAGUGUGUAUUUUUUUUUAAGUUUAUUUGAAAUUUUAUCUGAAAUUGGUUAAAAAUCUUAUCCAAAAUAAACUUAAAAAAAAAACACCAAAUAAAUGCACUGGGUGCCAGCGCAUUUUUUUAGGGGUGGAGAUGCCUUGGCCUAUUACUGUUCACUUGAGUGGAUAAAUGCGCUGGGUGCUGACGCAAAGUCCUUAGGGGUGGAAUUGCUCUUAAGGGGCUGUCUUGGCCUAGAACAAUGGCCAACUUUUUGUUAAGACUUCUUUCGGAUAUGUGUGGAAAACAGUUGUGCUCAGAAACCCUUAUCAAAUAAUUUUAAAAAGAGUAAUGCUAGGAAGACUAAAUUUAGAAACUAAAUUUUGGAAAUUAAAGAACAUGUAAGUUGAUUAUUGGUUUAUUACAACGUUGAUAGACAUGCUUAUUUUUAUUUGUGACAUAUCAUUUAGUUUGUAAAUUUAAUCUCUAAAUUUAAUUUCUCUAAUAUUAUUCUUUUUAAAAACGUAACAAAAUUAAAGCACUUUGAGAAAAAGAAAAAAAAAAUUCUUGAAGAAACACAUGGUAAGAAAAGCACUCGGAAUGACUCCUCCUCAGGAAACAUUCAAGCAAUGUCCGCUUUAAACAAUAAUUUAUUAUUUUCUGUAAGGAAGAGGUAUUCAUCAAUUCCCCCCCUCAACUUGUGACUAUUGGCCAAUUUCCCCCCUCAACUUUAAUUUUGGCCAAUUUCCCCCCUCAACUCUCAUAAUUAGUCAAUUUCCCCCCUCAACUUUAAUUUGGCCAAUUCCCCCCCUCAACUCUCAUAAUUAGUCAUUUUGCACCCUACUAUUAAUUUUUUAAUUUGAUCAUAAUUAAACAAGUGUGUGUAAGAAACUAAAUAAGAUGUAUGUGUAGACAUCGAAAUUUCGGUAAAUAAAUGUUGACCGAUAAAUCAAAGUGGCAACGCUCAUGUAUUACAUAAAUUUUACACGUAACGUGUGACUCAACGAAAAUUGAAAUGAGUUGGAAAGUCAUCAAAUAGGACACAUGUCAACACCUGUCAGAAACGACUUAUUUCAUCUGGGAUAUUAUAUUCAAAAUUAGGCCUUGGAAAAUUCUAUAAAUACAAGCCCAUUUCAUUCAUUUAGGGGGGAGGGACCAAAAUCAUUAAGCAAGCUCUGAAGCUCUGAAACUCCGAAGCUUUGAAACUCCGAAGCUCUCAAGCAUCCAGGUUCCCGAAGAAUCAAGAAAGCUCUCUUCGUUCUUUGUUCUUCGUUCAUCUUAAAGAUCAAGCCCCAACGGCCCUUUGGAUCAACAAUCAUCCACCAAUUCAAGAUCAAGCCCCGACGACCCUUGAAUAAAGUGUUCUUCGUUCUUCGUUCUUCGUUCAUCGUUCAUCCUCAAGAUCAAGCCCCGACGACCCUUGAAGAAAGUGUUCUUCGUUCUUCGUUCAUCAUUCUUCCAAGAUCAAGCCCCGACGACCCUUGGAUCAACAGCAUCAACAAAUCCACACAUCCAACCGUUCUUCAAGAUCAAGCCCAAAAGUCCUUGAAGAUCCGUUCAUCACUGUUUCUUCAAGAUCAAGCCCAAAAGCCCUUGAAGAUCUGUUCAUCACCGUUAUUCAAGAUCAAGCCUUAACGGCCCUUGAAGAAACAUUCAUCCUCAAGAUCAAGCCCCAACGGCUCCUUGAAGAUCCGCUCAAAUCCACCUUCAAAGAUCAAGCCCACAGCCCCUUGAAGAAACAAACAACUGUUCAUCCCAAGAUCAAGCCUCGACGGCCCUUGGAUCAACGAAACAUCCACAAAUCAACGCCUUAUGGAGAUCGAAUCAGAUGAUCAAGUUAUAGAGAGAUUGUAACCCAAAAUCAUCAAAUACAAAUAUUUGUUUGUGCACGUUGUUCUUGUCUCUUUCGUUUCAGGAAUUUUCCGUGUUCACAGUAUGUUAAUCAUUUUCCUAUAUCUUUAUCCUAUUACAAAUAGAUUAAAAUUUAGAAUUUUACAAUUUAUCAUAGAUAGUAUUAUUAGUCAUAAUAAAUCAGUGUGGAGUAAUUUUAUUUGAUUUUUUACUAUACAAAAUUUAUAACGAAAAGGAUUGAUGUGUACAUUUUUGUAUGUGAAUACAAUUUUCUUUAUAAAAGUGAAAGUUAAGUUCCAGUAAAUUGCAGAGAAUCGAGCUUUAAUGCAAAAAUG